GACGAACGCUGGCGGCGUGCUUGACACAUGCAAGUCGAACGGAAAGGCCCUGCUUUUGUGGGGUGCUCGAGUGGCGAACGGGUGAGUAACACGUGAGUAACCUGCCCUUGACUUUGGGAUAACUUCAGGAAACUGGGGCUAAUACCGGAUAGGAGCUCCUGCUGCAUGGUGGGGGUUGGAAAGUUUCGGCGGUUGGGGAUGGACUCGCGGCUUAUCAGCUUGUUGGUGGGGUAGUGGCUUACCAAGGCUUUGACGGGUAGCCGGCCUGAGAGGGUGACCGGCCACAUUGGGACUGAGAUACGGCCCAGACUCCUACGGGUGGCAGCAGUGGGGAAUAUUGCACAAUGGGCGGAAGCCUGAUGCAGCAACGCCGCGUGCGGGAUGACGGCCUUCGGGUUGUAAACCGCUUUCGCCUGUGACGAAGCGUGAGUGACGGUAAUGGGUAAAGAAGCACCGGCUAACUACGUGCCAGCAGCCGCGGUGAUACGUAGGGUGCGAGCGUUGUCCGGAUUUAUUGGGCGUAAGGGCUCGUAGGUGGUUGAUCGCGUCGGAAGUGUAAUCUUGGGGCUUAACCCUGAGCGUGCUUUCGAUACGGGUUGACUUGAGGAAGGUAGGGGAGAAUGGAAUUCCUGGUGGAGCGGUGGAAUGCGCAGAUAUCAGGAGGAACACCAGUGGCGAAGGCGGUUCUCUGGGCCUUUCCUGACGCUGAGGAGCGAAAGCGUGGGGAGCGAACAGGCUUAGAUACCCUGGUAGUCCACGCUGUAAACGGUGGGUACUAGGUGUGGGGUCCAUUCCACGGGUUCCGUGCCGUAGCUAACGCUUUAAGUACCCCGCCUGGGGAGUACGGCCGCAAGGCUAAAACUCAAAGGAAUUGACGGGGCCCCGCACAAGCGGCGGAGCAUGCGGAUUAAUUCGAUGCAACGCGUAGAACCUUACCUGGGUUUGACAUGGAUCGGGAGUGCUCAGAGAUGGGUGUGCCUCUUUUGGGGUCGGUUCACAGGUGGUGCAUGGCUGUCGUCAGCUCGUGUCGUGAGAUGUUGGGUUAAGUCCCGCAACGAGCGCAACCCUUGUUCACUGUUGCCAGCACGUUAUGGUGGGGACUCAGUGGAGACCGCCGGGGUCAACUCGGAGGAAGGUGGGGAUGACGUCAAGUCAUCAUGCCCCUUAUGUCCAGGGCUUCACGCAUGCUACAAUGGCUGGUACAGAGAGUGGCGAGCCUGUGAGGGUGAGCGAAUCUCGGAAAGCCGGUCUCAGUUCGGAUUGGGGUCUGCAACUCGACCUCAUGAAGUCGGAGUCGCUAGUAAUCGCAGAUCAGCAACGCUGCGGUGAAUACGUUCCCGGG
rnacentral:rRNA from 1 species